GCAUAUAUCACCGCAUUUUGAAUUGCAUCACUCAGCAAUGAAAGACUAGCUUAAAGUUUGGCCCGUGCCCCCAGGCGCAGUCUGUGUUAAAUAAGCAGCAGAAGAACC
rnacentral:lncRNA from 1 species